AGUUUUUGAUGUCCCCAUCACGCAGUCUGUGUUGAUUGUGUGCCUGUGACGUCUCUGUAGCGGCUCCUUAUUCACCAUCAGCUGAUCCUGAGGAAACUGUACCGAUGUCUAAAUACUGAGAGUCAAAAGUAUAGUUCCACC